CACGGGGGGAGCAAGCGUUGUUCGGAAUCACUGGGCGUAAAGGGCGCGUAGGCGGCGAUUCAAGUGGCGGGUGAAAUCCCUCGGCUUAACCGAGGAACUGCCUGCCAGACUGGAUUGCUUGAGUCCGGGAGAGGUGAGUGGAAUUCCCAGUGUAGCGGUGAAAUGCGUAGAUAUUGGGAGGAACACCAGUGGCGAAGGCGGCUCACUGGACCGGAACUGACGCUGAGGCGCGAAAGCUAGGGGAGCAAACGGG
rnacentral:rRNA from 1 species